CACACCAACCCCUUUUCCCCUUCCAUUCUUGUUCUACCCGCCCCCUGCGCUCGUUCACAUGCAUUCCUCUCCACCUGUUUGAAACCGACAAAUUCAACUGUGAUCUGUUAUGUUCUCGGUAGAACGAUAGAGAUACUUCAUUCAGCCACAGAAGGGAGUGUGAAGAUACGAAGGAAAAGAGAUACAGGCUUGAGAAAGUCCUCGAACUUUACACUCUCUGGGAAGCGAAAGCAGUGGGUAGCCUAAGUGCCAGCCUACGACUUUAUAUCGAAUUACGCGUGAAGGGAUAUAUUUUUGGAAAUAAAGGAACAAUUCCACUUCUCGUUGAUGUACAAUUGUUGGAGCUGAGAGAAAAGGAAGUUGUGGUGCAGGUAUGAAAGAGAUUCCUAGACACGGUAUGGACUCGCCGAGGAGCCAAUGGGAGCCCGUCAGGAAGCCUCCAUGGAUCGCCCGAUUGACUGGAGGGAGGAGCCCGGCCUCCUCGGGGGCGGAGUCGGACACAGAGGGCAGCAGCACGGAGAGUGAAAAGUCCCGCUCAAGACACUCCGACUCGGGUUCUAUGAAGGUCGCGACCUCUCCGUCUAUGUUGCAGCAGCGAAUCACAGAGAUCGACCAGCAGAGGGAGGAGCUUAAGAUUGAGCUGCAGCUGGAGAUUGCGCUGCUGCAGGGGGAGCUGCAGACGGAGCGGGCGCUCCUGUGCAGGGACACGCAGCAGCUGCAGGCGCUGCAGGAGCACGGCACCCAGAGGGGGACGGGCAGACGGGCCUCCAGACAGAAGGUGGGCCGACUCUCUCCCCAGCGCUGACUCAGCUCAGCUGUUUGCCCUUGUCUGAGGAGUUUGAGGAGUUUGAAGUUUUACGUGAUUUGAAGAGAUGUGAAAGUCUUUAUGAUCUUCUGCUUGAGUUCAUGUUUCUAAACUUACUUCUGAGGAGUUUGAAGAUUUACGUGAUUACGUGCUUUCAAAAGACAGAAAGAUUUAAAGGUCUUUCUGAGCUUCUGCUUGAGUUGGUCAUGUUUCUAAACUUACUUCUGUGUAUUGACUUGGUAGGUUAGUAUGUUAAUGCUGAGCCUGUGACAAGGACUUGGACAGGUCUUGUGAGAGCUGUACAAAGUACUCCUAGUAUGUUAAUGCUGAGCCUGUGACAAGGACAAGGACAGGUCUUGUGAGAGCUGUACAAAGUACUCCUAUCUUCUCCUGUGUGUGUAGCGGUGGAGGCAGAGAGAGAUGGGAUAGAUGUAGUUACCACCAUAGACAGAGAAGAUUCUGGCG
rnacentral:lncRNA from 1 species